rnacentral:rRNA from 1 species
AUACGGAGGAUCCGAGCGUUAUCCGGAUUUAUUGGGUUUAAAGGGUGCGUAGGUGGGAUAUUAAGUCAGCUGUGAAAGUUUGGGGCUCAACCUUAAAAUUGCAGUUGAUACUGGUUUCCUUGAGUACGGUACAGGUGGGCGGAAUUCGUGGUGUAGCGGUGAAAUGCUUAGAUAUCACGAAGAACUCCGAUCGCGAAGGCAGCUCACCGGGCCGGAACUGACUCUGAUGCUCGAAAGUGCGGGUAUCAAACAGGAUUAGAUACCCUGGUAGUCCGCACAGUAAACGAUGAAUACUUGUUUUCGGCGAUAUAAUGUCGGAGGCAAAGCGAAAGCGAUAAGUAUUCCACCUGGGGAGUACGCCGGCAACGGUGAAACUCAAAGGAAUUGACGGGG